AUACGUAGGUGGCAAGCGUUGUCCGGAUUUAUUGGGCGUAAAGCGAGCGCAGGCGGUUUCUUAAGUCUGAUGUGAAAGCCCCCGGCUCAACCGGGGAGGGUCAUUGGAAACUGGGAGACUUGAGUGCAGAAGAGGAGAGUGGAAUUCCAUGUGUAGCGGUGAAAUGCGUAGAUAUAUGGAGGAACACCAGUGGCGAAGGCGACUCUCUGGUCUGUAACUGACGCUGAGGCUCGAAAGCGUGGGGAGCAAACAGGAUUAGAUACCCUGGUAGUCCACGCCGUAAACGAUGAGUGCUAAGUGUUGGAGGGUUUCCGCCCUUCAGUGCUGCAGCUAACGCAUUAAGCACUCCGCCUGGGGAGUACGACCGCAAGGUUGAA
rnacentral:rRNA from 1 species